rnacentral:rRNA from 1 species
CACGGGGGUUGCAAGCGUUGUCCGGAAUUACUAGGCGUAAAGGGCAGGUAGGCGGAUAUAUAAGUUUUGUGUUAAAGGCAUCGGCUUAACCGGUGUAAGGCAUAGGAUACUGUAUAUCUGGAAUGCGGUUGAGGAAGACAGAAUUCCUGGUGUAGCGGUGGAAUGCGCAGAGAUCAGGAGGAAUACCAAAGGCGAAGGCAGUCUUCUAAGCCGAUAUUGACGCUAAACUGCGAAGGUGUGGGUAUCAAACAGG